rnacentral:rRNA from 1 species
CCUACGGGUGGCAGCAGUAAGGAAUAUUGGUCAAUGGACGCAAGUCUGAACCAGCCAUGCCUCGUGGAGGAUGAAGGUCCUCUGGAUUGUAAACUUCUUUUAUUUGGGAAGAAACUCCCGAUUUCCAUCGGGCUUGACGGUACCAGAUGAAUAAGCACCGGCUAACUCCGUGCCAGCCGCCGCGGUAAUACGGAGGGUGCAAGCUUUAUCCGGUUUAAAUGGGUUUAAGGUGGGCAGGGAAGGCAGUGUAGAAAUCUCCGGGCUUAACCCGGAAACUGCCAUUGAUACUAUUUGUCUUGAAUACUCUGGAGGUGAGCGGAAUAUGUCAUGUAGCGGUGAAAUGCUUAGAGAUGACAUAGAACACCCAUUGCGAAGGCAGCUCACUACGGAAAUAUUGACGCUGAGGCACGAAAGCGUGGGGAUCAAACAGGAUUAGAUACCCUUGUAGUC